rnacentral:lncRNA from 1 species
AAGAAAUAAAAGCUGAAAUAAAUCAUUCUCUCUACAAUUAUUCUGACAUUUCACAUUCUUAAAAUAAAGUGGUGAUCCUAACUGACCUAAGACAUGGAAUUUUUACUAGGAUUAAAUGUACUUUGCUAAGGUGUACGUAAACCUCCGACUUCAACUAUAUCAUUGAUAUUUGAUGAAUAGUUUAAAAACAUUUGUACUGUCCCAUAGUAACUAUGUGUAAAAUGUGUCACUGUGCUUGCUCAACAGUAUAGCUUCCUUCCUCACAUGUCUGCGACUGAUCCCAGGUCCUCUGCUUCGCAAACACAAGUGACACCAUCUUAGCCAGUUGUGCCACCGAAAAGUUUUUGCAACGAAUCCAGUAUAAACCUGAAGAGGAACAUAUUAUUGAACACUGAUAAACCAUUUGAAGUGGUCACCAAGGAAGCAUUGCUCAGGUGGAACGGCACUGGACAGACGGAAGUCUCCCCAGUCCUCUGGAAGGUUGACAGCACAAGGUCACAUGACCUGGAAGAGAAAACCCAGGAGACUUUUGGGAUCCCUUUUUGA